GGGGAUGUAGCUAAGUGGUAUAGUACAUGUUUUGCAUGUAUGAGGGCCUGGGCUCAAUUCCCAGUAUUUCCA
rnacentral:tRNA from 1 species